CAGUAGCCACGGGAAUACAGAGGGUGCGAGCGUUAAUCGGAUUUACUGGGCGUAAAGCGUGCGUAGGCGGCUUCUUAAGUCGGAUGUGAAAUCCCUGAGCUUAACUUAGGAAUUGCAUUCGAUACUGGGAAGCUAGAGUAUGGGAGAGGAUGGUAGAAUUCCAGGUGUAGCGGUGAAAUGCGUAGAGAUCUGGAGGAAUACCGAUGGCGAAGGCAGCCAUCUGGCCUAAUACUGACGCUGAGGUACGAAAGCAUGGGGAGCAAACAGGAUUAGAUACCCCUGUAGUCCCUGUCUCUUAUAU
rnacentral:rRNA from 1 species